rnacentral:rRNA from 1 species
UACGUAGGGUGCGAGCGUUGUCCGGAAUUAUUGGGCGUAAAGAGCUUGUAGGCGGUUUGUCGCGUCUGCUGUGAAAAUCCGGGGCUCAACUCCGGACUUGCAGUGGGUACGGGCAGGCUAGAGUGUGGUAGGGGAGACUGGAAUUCCUGGUGUAGCGGUGGAAUGCGCAGAUAUCGGGAGGAACACCAAUGGCGAAGGCAGCUCGCUGGGACGUUACUGACGCUGAGACGCGAAAGCGUGGGGAGCAAACAGG